rnacentral:lncRNA from 1 species
GGACACGCUCGGCCGUACAAAGCCCUUAUCGAGCAAGUCCUGUAACUGAGCUUUCAAUUCCUUCAACUCUACCGGUGCCAUUCUGUACGGAGCCUUCGAAAUGGGCGCUGCCCCGGGAAUCAAGUCAAUCACAAACUCGACUUCCCGAUCCGGGGGCAAUCCCGGUAACUCCGCGGGGAAUACAUCCGGAUACUCCCGCACAACUUGAAUACUCUCCAAUUCCGAGUACUCUUUUCGAGAGUCUACGAUGGUCGCCAAGUAGGCCUUACAACCGCCUUUGAUCAUCCUUUUCGCCCUCACC